rnacentral:rRNA from 1 species
GGCGGACGGGUGAGUAACGCGUGGGAAUCUACCCAGUAGUGGGGGACAACUACCGGAAACGGUAGCUAAUACCGCAUACGCCCUAUGGGGGAAAGGCUUCGGCCGCUAUUGGAUGAGCCCGCGUCAGAUUAGCUAGUUGGUAGGGUAAAGGCCUACCAAGGCAACGAUCUGUAGCUGGUCUGAGAGGACGAACAGCCACACUGGGACUGAGACACGGCCCAGACUCCUACGGGAGGCAGCAGUGGGGAAUAUUGGACAAUGGGCGAAAGCCUGAUCCAGCAAUGCCGCGUGUGUGAAGAAGGCCUGCGGGUUGUAAAGCACUUUCAGUUGGGAAGAUGAUGACGUUACCAACAGAAGAAGCACCGGCUAAAUCCGUGCCAGCAGCCGCGGUAAUACAGAUGGUGCGAGCGUUAAUCGGAAUUACUGGGCGUAAAGCGCGC